UACGUAGGGGGCAAGCGUUGUCCGGAUUUAUUGGGCGUAAAGAGCGUGUAGGCGGCCAGGUAGGUCUGCUGUGAAAACUCGAGGCUUAACCUCGAGCUGUCGGCGGAAACCAUCUGGCUCGAGUCCGGGAGAGGUGAGUGGAACUGCGAGUGUAGAGGUGAAAUUCGUAGAUAUUCGCAAGAACACCAGUGGCGAAGGCGGCUCACUGGCCCGGUACUGACGCUGAGGUGCGAAAGCGUGGGGAGCAAACAGG
rnacentral:rRNA from 1 species